UUUCCGUAGGGUAACCUGCGGAGGGAUCAUUACACAAAUAUGAAGGCGGGCUGGAACCUCUCGGGGUUACAGCCUUGCUGAAUUAUUCACCCUUGUCUUUUGCGUACUUCUUGUUUCCUUGGUGGGUUCGCCCACCACUAGGACAAACAUAAACCUUUUGUAAUUGCAAUCAGCGUCAGUAACAAAUUAAUAAUUACAACUUUCAACAACGGAUCUCUUGGUUCUGGCAUCGAUGAAGAACGCAGCGAAAUGCGAUAAGUAGUGUGAAUUGCAGAAUUCAGUGAAUCAUCGAAUCUUUGAACGCACAUUGCGCCCUUUGGUAUUCCAAAGGGCAUGCCUGUUCGAGCGUCAUUUGUACCCUCAAGCUUUGCUUGGUGUUGGGCGUCUUGUCUCUAGCUUUGCUGGAGACUCGCCUUAAAGUAAUUGGCAGCCGGCCUACUGGUUUCGGAGCGCAGCACAAGUCGCACUCUCUAUCAGCAAAGGUCUAGCAUCCAUUAAGCCUUUUUUUCAACUUUUGACCUCGGAUCAGGUAGGGAUACCCGCUGAACUUAAGCAUAUCAAUAAGGCGGAGGAA
rnacentral:rRNA from 1 species